rnacentral:lncRNA from 1 species
AUUGUCAAAAAUAAAUCAUACUUUAAGAAGAAGUGCAUUAUUAAGAAGCAUUGUCCAUGACAAAACGAAGUUAACAUACUUGAUAUUUUCUCUUUGAUGUUUGUAGGUUUCAAGAGACAAUCUAGUAGCUCUCCAAACACAGCACCUUGCAUAUUAUCUCCAACAAUUUAUAAGUUUUACAAAAAAAGAUAAUCAUAAUUGAUUGAUAAGAUAAAUGAACUGAUGUUAAUUUUGUAGUUCCUCCAAAUGGCCUAAACUAAUGAUGUAACUGGAACAUAAUCAUUUGAAACCAUUCUACCAGCAAAAUGGUUUAGGAAGCAACAAUUAAACAUCAACUACCAGAAACCAUUCUACCAGCAAAAUGGUUUCAGAGUACAACUCUCUGAAACCAUUCUACCAGCUAAAUGGUUUUAGAGUACAACUCUCUGAAACCAUUCUAAAAUCAAUUUUAAGCAACAGAAAAUUCAUAGAAGAAACAUACAUUUAAUGAGAUAUAAACAAUAGGAAUGGACCAAAAAAUGUAUC